CCUACGGGAGGCUGCAGUAGGGAAUCUUCCGCAAUGAGCGAAAGCCUGAUGAAGCAACGCCGCGUGCAUGAAGAAGGCCUUCGGGUUGUAAAAUUCUGUUAUAAGGGAAGAAAGGUGGUAGGAGGAAAUGACUAUCAAUUGACGGUACCUUAUGAGAAAGCGACGGCUAACUACGUGCCAGCAGCCGCGGUAAUACGUAGGUGGCAAGCGUUAUCCGGAAUUAUUGGGCGUAAAGAGCGCGGAGGCGGUUAAUUAAGUCUGAUGUGAAAGCCCAGGGCUUAACCGUGGGGGGUCAUUGGAAACUGGUUGACUUGAGUGCAGAAGAGGGAAGUGGAAUUCCAUGUGUAGCGGUGAAAUGCGUAGAGAUAUGGAGGAACACCAGUGGCGAAGGCGGCUUCCUGG
rnacentral:rRNA from 1 species